GCAUGCCUACGGGGCGCAGCAGUGAGGAAUAUUGGUCAAUGGGCGGAAGCCUGAACCAGCCAAGUCGCGUGAGGGAAUAAGGCCCUACGGGUCGUAAACCUCUUUUGCCGGGGAGCAAGCGUGCGUUCGUGAACGCACGUCGAGAGUACCCGGAGAAAAAGCAUCGGCUAACUCCGUGCCAGCAGCCGCGGUAAUACGGAGGAUGCGAGCGUUAUCCGGAUUUAUUGGGUUUAAAGGGUGCGUAGGCGGGAUGCCAAGUCAGCGGUAAAAAUGCGGUGCUCAACGCCGUCGAGCCGUUGAAACUG
rnacentral:rRNA from 1 species